AAUCCGUUCUUGAGGGAUUAAAUGCUUUUAAAUCUCUGGCUGGGGCGCGUGGGCUCUCCUCCCUGCUCCCCCCGCCCCAGCCCUUUUCGUUUCCUUCCUUCCCUCCCUCGCAGGUGGCAAGGAUGCUGUUUGCCGUCGGACCAUCUGUGCUUUUGUGUUUUGAACGCGAUCGGCUUUGCCCUAUAAUAAGAAAGCGAUACGAAGAGCGAGUCAAGCGUGGGCAAGCUUUCCCUAGGCCUGAGCUGAACCGUUGCUUCUGAUCUAGGCCUUGCAUUUUCAUCUCCUACUUAAACAAAUACGAUGCUGGUAAAACAAGAAACGCAACAGCAAUAAAAAUGAGACCUCGCCAAUUGCUGCUCACAUUUUAAUCCCUGCAGCCAUGGGUUCACAUGAUGGCUUAUAUUCAGCUUCAGAGCCUAAUUCCUAAAAAUGAGAAUAAAACUAUUUAAUGUACGGGGAAGUUGUAAAGAUAAAAAGAACAAUGCAAAACAGCUUUUUCAUUUGAAAACCACUACGUGAAUGAUGACAAUCAUUUAAAAAAGAGAGACCUAACAACAAUUGGUCACACACAAACGUGACCAAGUGAUGGAAGAGAAUAAUGCAGAUGAUAAAAGUGUGGCAACUCAAGGCAGUGGGCACAGGAUGGCUUUGUUUAUUCCGGCCAACCGUUUGCCCUUAUUCUCACUACUACUGCAACACCAUAAGAAGGAAAUAAAAGGAGAUGGAAAGUAUUUCACUACAGGUGAGGCGCAAAUAGCCCCUUGCUUGUCUAGCAAGCUCACUUUUGGUCAACAGAGACUCCGCAUGCAAAGAAAGGCUACUGAACCCUGUUCAAUUUUAAAAGUGCUGGCACUGACCUUUAAAGCCUCAAAUUGUCUGGAGCCAGGAUACCUUAAUAAGAACUUCAUCCUCCCAUAGCAACCUUCUUCAACACUAAGAUUGACGUGAGAGUUCCUACUUUGGAAGAACAGCAGGUACCUAUGGGGCUUUCCAAUGUUGGAGUCUUUUAAAAUAAUAUUUCUAUUGAUUUUUACAGAAAUCACAUUCUAGAGGGGGGAAACACAAACAUAUUCCAAAUAUACGUUCAGAUAUGUUUUUAAUACCAAAUGUAGACUCGUUUUGUCUGAUAUAACAUUUUCAAUUUGGCCAUGUACAUUUCAUGCAAAGUUUGCAAGUAGGAUGUUUAAAUAGGAUUUUGAAAUAGCUGAAUGGUUUCUUUUAAUCACUGAUAAUUACUUCAGGUUGUAUUGGCUAGGGAGCCUAUGCUAGUCCUGAUAUUAUCUGUACACAGAAAGGGAUGGGAACCUGUGAGAAGCUGACAGCUGAAAUCAGAUUUCCUGGAAUUUGAUACUCAAAGUUCGGUCGAAGUCCAUUUUGAGCAGUCAUUGUUAGUUUUAAUAUAUGUAUUGAUCAUUUCCUUCCUUUCUGAAUAAACUGUUCUAAAUGUCAAAAGAGAAA